GGGGUCAUAGCUCAAUUUGGUCAGAGCGCUGCCCUGUCACGGCAGAGGCUGAGGGUUCAAGUCCCUUUGGCCCCG
rfam:Candidatus Roizmanbacteria bacterium RIFCSPHIGHO2_01_FTLL_39_12c rifcsphigho2_01_scaffold_1366, whole genome shotgun sequence.